UGUGAGGAGUUGUUUUCCCUCAUUUUGUUUUCUUUUUCUCUCCUCCCUCUCCUUUCUUUUCUGAUAGACAGAUUUUGGUUUCGACAUCAUGUACAAUGGCGGCUCGAGUAUCGCAUCUCUCAACACCGGCGGAACACUCACAAACUCCCCUGUAUCAUCCACCAAGUCCGCGCACUCUCUACUAUUCCUCACAGCCAAUGCGCGUUUUGCAUCGCUUCUAGGCAACCAAUAAAAUUAUGUCCAGUCUGUGCAUUGCUGCAUGCACGAGGUGGGAGGGGUCUAUUUGUGUCAAAGCAGCAGAGAACUAGAAGUAGCACAUAAGCGCAACUGUCAAAUAGAUCGCGCAGAUAAUAAAAUAAUACCAUUAAUACAAAUUAUAAAAUGAUCGUUGAGGGCCCCUCACAUACCAGGGCCCUAUGUACUCAGUCACCCUUUUCUCCCCACUUAUGACGCCCCUGUCUGUGAAUAUGCGGCCAACUUCCUGCUCCUUCAAUUCUCUCCAGCACUGGAAAGCUGAUCCUAUAUUAACACAGGUUCUACGUCAAUGUUAAAAACGCUUUCUGCUAAUGUUAUACAUGCGCACUGAACACUCUCUCCGCCCAUAUUGACAAGACCUGCCCCUUUCUGCUCAUUGGCUACACGUUUGUUUGAUUUUUGGUGGCCCAAUGCAGUUUUCUGGAGCAUUUCUCAAACUUCGGAGACCCUGCCUUUAACUUUAGAUGAAAAGUGAAACACAUCACUAGCAUGCUGGUUAAGGUGAAACUUGGGGAUGCCCAAAAAUUUGUCAAGAUAACCAAGCUAAGCCUGGAGGAAUUUUUGUCUGCUGCAUUUUUAAAGUUUGGUGUCCCAGCUGUACCCGAAAAUGUGAAGGUUUUUGAUGAAUCGGGGACUGAGGUGGAUGAUGAUGUUUUUGAGGAUGUAAUCACAGAGCCCUCAGUUGGAGUUCUUACCAUAAAACAUGGUGCAGACUUGGAUUUUACCUCUCCACAAGCCUCUCAUGGGCAGUCAAAUCAGUCCCCGUCUUCAUGCAUUGACUCCAGUGACUCACAGGAUACAGUCAUUAUUGAACAAAGCUCCUCCAGUAAACGAAUGAGGCUAGACGAUGAAGCUAAAAAAAGUUGGUGAAAACCAUCCUUGUCCAGUAACCUGGUGGGGAGCGUAUAAUAAAUGAAUAAGACCGAAUGAAGUCUUUGGGGACGAAACAAGGCGGAAAAUGGCAACAUAUUGGCAGCUGAUAUGACAGAAAAGAAUGGGUAAUCUUCAUGAUCAUUACUUGGUGGAUAUAUGAUCUUAAGUUCUAAAAAUGUUUUGUUGUUUAAACUUGUGCAAAGGACACAGUCUUUUUUAUUUUAAAUGUUUUUAAUUAUUUGAUUUUUUUUACUGCAGUACAUCACCACCAAGGCAGGUCAAAGAAAAAUAUGCCAGAGGAAUUGUGACUUUGUUCCCUUACAUCAGUGACCCCUUUUCCAAAAAUUCCAAGAGUUCCAAUUCUGUGUAAUGCUGCUGAUCUCACAUACCCAUGCUACAGGUGGUGGGUGUAUUUUGUUGUUGAAUUGAAAGACUUUUUAUCUGUAUUCUUCUCUUUCUAAGGAACAUUAUUAUGAUGGUGAAAGCGGUACUGGGUACUUAGCAUGGAGAAUCAAGACUAUAUAAAGAGGCUUAGCUAAAGAAUGAUGUGCAUCAUUUGAAGGACAAGGGACGUCUGCUGAAGCGGGGUCUGGUGGACCAACUGUAAGAAGGCAUUCAGAGUUUAAUCCGGAGACCAUCUUGAGUGAGGAUGAAUGCAAGGAAGCAAUUGCAUUCAUGAUCCAUUCUUCUGAUGAGCACGCCAUCAAGAAGAAAAUGAAAUUGACAUUCGAUUUUUCCACAACAUGGAUCUUCUUGACCCCAUGCAAUCAAGUGAUAUAUUGACAGUCUUUCCACGAUUCAAAGACAUUAAAGGCUUGGUAAAGUGUUUAUACUAGUGCUCAGCACAAAAUUUGAUAGCAGGAGAAAUAAAACCACUGGAACGUUUGAUCAAGUUGUUGUAACAGAUAAAUGUGCUUAUAUUCCCAUUUUAGAAAGACUAAAGUCAAUUUUACAAAAUCCACAUCUUAUUGAUUGUUUAAACCCAGGCAUGUUCGAAAGUAUACGUUUAUGUUGACUUAAGUGAUGCUGCACAUUUUAAAAGUAAUCCUUUAUUUUAAACAGAAAAAGAUGUCUAACAAAUUCAGUUAUUUUAUGACGAUUUUGAGACGGCUAAUCCUUUGGGUUCUAAAAAAGGUAUACACAAAUUGGGUGCUAUAUACAGUAUUUUACAUUAAGGAAUUUCACCCCUAUGUUUAACUCUUCAUUGAAUAAUAUACAUUCAUGUGCCAUCUUUUAUGCACAGGAUAUUAGACGUAUGGUUGUAAUGCUAUA